ACCAAUAAGAUAUGGCGGAAGUACACUGUGCCAAUUCCAGACCAACGCCUUGAGAAGCCAGGCAGGUUUCGCAGUCUGAGGAACGAAACCUGUUCUUCCUGUGCUGCCGUGUAGAGUUUCAGCUACCCUGCUGUGAAAAGCCCCUUGGAGAGGCCACAUGGUAAAGGGAGAAGCCCUGAGGUUACUUGGACAGGGAGAGCAAAACCCAGAUGUCCCUGCAUCCCAGCUGAGACCAUCCUCCAGGAAAAACACUGGCCCAAUACAGCCGCACAAAAAAUCAUCAGCAAGACCAGCGGAAGAACCGCCCAGACAAUCCUAGCCAAGAAUGUGGAACGGAUGGCUAUUCAUCCCAAUUUGCCUGAGAAUGAAGGCGUUUCCAGGACACAGGACUUACAGUGCUAAAACCAGGAAAGUCCUGGGGAAACUGCAAGAGUUGGUCACCUUCUUUCCAACAUCUCAACUAAACAGGAGUUUACUUCAGAGCAAAAUGCAAUCGUAUUCACACAGUUUGGGAGCUUACUGAAGGGGAAGCUAGAGAAGAGAUCUGGUCGUCUGUUAAUUCCUUAUUCUUCAUUUCUACUUCUUUGAUCUAUGGAAAGAACCAACACAUCAGGCAAGGUAUUGUGUGAUCAAAAGAUUUGAAAGGUGUGCUUGGUCCAGAGGUGAGUAGAACAUGGGGGGUGCCUGGUUUAACGUUAGUGUCAAGACAAAAGGGACCUCCUGCAGGGAGCCCUUUCCUGCAAAGAGUUCUUUCCUCCCAAAAGCUGCUUACAAAAUGUUAAAUUAUAUUUAAUGAUUAUUCAGGUAAAGUUCAGAAAAAGCAUCAC